UACGUAGGGUGCGAGCGUUAAUCGGAAUUACUGGGCGUAAAGCGUGCGCAGGCGGUUGUGCAAGACCGAUGUGAAAUCCCCGGGCUUAACCUGGGAAUGGCAUUGGUGACUGCACGGCUAGAGUGUGUCAGAGGGGGGUAGAAUUCCACGUGUAGCAGUGAAAUGCGUAGAGAUGUGGAGGAAUACCGAUGGCGAAGGCAGCCCCCUGGGAUAACACUGAUGCUCAUGCACGAAAGCGUGGGGAGCAAACAGG
rnacentral:rRNA from 1 species